rnacentral:rRNA from 1 species
CCCUAGGCGACGAUCUGUACUUGGUCUGAGAGGAUGACCAGGCACACUGGAACUGAGACACGGUCCAGACUCCUACGGGAGGCAGCAGUGGGGAAUUUUCCGCAAUGGGCGCAAGCCUGACGGAGCAAUACCGCGUGAGGGAGGACGGCUUUUGGGUUGUAAACCUCUUUUAUCAGGGAAGAAUCGAUGACGGUACCUGAUGAAUCAGCAUCGGCUAACUCCGUGCCAGCAGCCGCGGUAAUACGGAGGAUGCAAGCGUUAUCCGGAAUUAUUGGGCGUAAAGCGUCCGUAGGUGGCGAUGCCAGUCUUUUGUCAAAGCGUGCGGCUUAACCGCAUACAGGCAGAGGAAACUGCAUUGCUAGAGUGCGAUAGGGGUCACAGGAAUUCCCAGUGUAGCGGUGAAAUGCGUAGAUAUUGGGAAGAACACCAGCGGCGAAAGCGUGUGACUGGGUCUGCACUGACACUGAGGGACGAAAGCUAGGGGAGCGAAAGGGAUUAGAUACCCCUGUAGUCCUAGCCGUAAACGAUGACAACUAGGUGUGGUUCGUAUCGACCCGAGCCGUGCCGUAGCCAACGCGUUAAGUUGUCCGCCUGGGGAGUACGCACGCAAGUGUGAAACUCAAAGGAAUUGACGGGGGCCCGCACAAGCGGUGGAGUAUGUGGUUUAAUUCGAUGCAACGCGAAGAACCUUACCAAGGCUUGACAUCCUGCGAACUUUUCUGAAAGGAGAAGGUGCCUUCGGGAGCGCAGAGACAGGUGGUGCAUGGCUGUCGUCAGCUCGUGUCGUGAGAUGUUGGGUUAAGUCCCGCAACGAGCGCAACCCACGUUUUUAGUUGCCAUCAGGUAAUGCUGGGCACUCUAGAGAGACUGCCGGUGACAAACCGGAGGAAGGUGUGGAUGACGUCAAGUCAGCAUGCCCCUUACGC